rnacentral:pre_miRNA from 1 species
UUUAAGUACGGAUAUAGAUUUCGGUGUUCAAUGUUUGAUCGUCUAUAUUAUUUAAAUUUUUUUAUUAGUAUUUUUGUUGUUAUUAGAUGAUAAACAUGAAAAAAACUUUAUGUGUGACUUAUUUUUUUAAAUACAACAGACGGUCAAAAUGUAAACCCACAUCUACACUUCUA